CGCUGACAUCUACCCUCUACACAUCAGGCGAGAGCCGAGAGCAACAAGCAACACACAAGAGAGCGAGGAUAACGAGACAAGGUUGUGAGGGUAAGAGAGCAGGUCUGCGAAUGGCACGACGGCUGAGACUCUCCCAAGGUAGUGCCUCUCGCACUCAGCUGUUGCCCCACUACCUGUGUUAACUCCCUCACCUUUUGAUUAUACAUUCAUUUAUACAUCUCUAUAGCCCCUUCCAGUCACCAUUCAAAAUCACCAUGGACAGCGAACGCUACUAAAGCACCCCAUAAUUUCAUUCAUUUUCUAAAACAAUAUAUUACUCAAACAGUAAACUAAUACUUAUAAAAACGUCAUGCGUGGCAACUCUACUAGGUUAUCAGAUAUGCAUUUAACAUUAUCCAAGGAGGAAAGUUUUUAACAAUGGAAGAAUAUUAUAAUAAAUAUAACACAUUUUAUAUUCCAGAUUAGUUUAUAGCUAGCUACAAUAAUUAUCUUAUUAACAAUUCAAAACUGUUAAAAAAGUUACCAAAAGCAGCAGCUUAAGUCCAGCAGAGAAUGACAACUCUUCGUGGGGGAUAUACAAGGUGAUGCAAAAUACAGGACCCGUCAGUAUUAUUUAUUCAUUCUGGUAUAUUUUCAAAUUGAAUAUUCAGUCCUCAUAGUUAACAUCACGAAAAAAAAACCGCUUAGUAUAUUAAUCCCGUGGACAUAUAUAUCUAAAUACGCAAAGUAUUUUAAUCCUUAAAUUUCUCAGUGAUUUAAGUCGACUAUUAUUCUUAUCAUUAUUCUCCAGGGCAAGGAGGGCAGAGGAAGCGUUCGAGCCAUAGGGGUCAAACAGCACCUGGGGUAAAGAAGGCAACAGUUUUGAUCCAAGGACGUAUAACAUAGGUUCAAUUCCAUGAAUCAACAGCUCCUCACCGUCAUGAGGCGCCUUCCUUAAGGGGGUUCAAGUAUAAUAAACAAUGUAAGGAAUACGGAAGCCUUAUGACCCUGGCAGUCAAUGCGUUAUAAAACUUAUAUAAUCUCUAAAAUGGUGUCCACAAAUUAAACUUGAGAAAAAAGCAUGGAUGUAGCACGCAAGAUGAUACGCUGCUCUGGUCUCAAUCAUGAAAAAAAUAUUCAGAUUAUUAACCCCGGAAGGCUAAUAAACUAGGAUAACUAACCCCAGAAGGCUAAUAACCUAGGAUAACUAACCUUUGAAGACUAAUAACCUAGGAUAACUAACCCUGGAAGACUAAUAACCCAGUAUAACUAACCCCGGAAGGUUAAUAACUCAGGAUAACUAACCCCGGAAGGCUAAUAACCCAGUAUAACUAACCCUGGAAGACUAAUAACCCAUAACUAACCCCGAAGGCUAAUAACCCAGGAUAAAGCAAGUAAGUGAACCAAUGUGGUUUAUUUCAAAUGGAUCUUCAGGGCCUCUCCAGGUAAAGAUCCACAACAUCUGACUAGCUCCAAGAUAUACUAGUUCCUGCUAGAUGGCGGACUGUAGGUGUCAGGAGACUUGCCCGCAUGAUCCACAGUGCUUGGAUUGUGAACUGAAAGCGCUACCUCUGAACUACAAGGUACUCCUUCAUUCUGUCAAUCAGAUUUCCUUCCGUUACCCCUAAUGCACUGUGCCGCCCUAGAAAUUUUUGACGAGCACAACCGUAUAUGAGACGAUGCGAACCUGUUGGCGAGAUAGAUUUUGUAAUAUGAUUUUACUUUUUUUGCGCUCAUCUAUGACUUCUAUCCAGUUGACUUCACUAGCUUAUUGGAUGAUGUGAUGGAGUCAGAUAGACAGUGGGUGUCAAGUUGAUCUGGAAGACUGUAUGGUCCGCAGCGCUGUAUGACCCAUUCAGGUUUAGCGCUUAACAUGAUUCUAUUGUGCGUAUGCUUAGUCCACCAAGCUCAACAGAAUGGGCUUUCUUUGAAAGGACGUCGUAUUAGUCUUGUUUCCAGCAGUGAGGGUGCAGAAUAAUAAGCUUUAUUCAGCUUAAAUUUUGUGAUUUUAGACGUCUGUUUUAAAUUUAUACAAUGCAUUAAGAACAUUAUUAUAGGCAUACAAUGAUGAAAAGUUUGAAAAGGGAUUGACAUCUAGUAGGAAGGUAAAAGGCAUUAUUGCUGCUCGAAAUGCUGUACAUUCUAUGGGCUUUGUAUUAAUACGGUACUCAUCAUAUUGUAAUUUUUUUUUAACCAUACCCACAAUGUACAGCUUUAAUAAAAAUAAAUUGUUUA